GUCGAGCGCAGGAAGCAAGUUGAUCCCCUUCGGGGGUGACGCUUGUGGAAUGAGCGGCGGACGGGUGAGUAACACGUGGGCAACCUGCCUGUAAGACUGGGAUAACCCCGGGAAACCGGGGCUAAUACCGGAUAAUACUUUCUUUUGCAUAAAGGAAAGUUGAAAGGCGGCUUCGGCUGUCACUUACAGAUGGGCCCGCGGCGCAUUAGCUAGUUGGUGAGGUAACGGCUCACCAAGGCGACGAUGCGUAGCCGACCUGAGAGGGUGAUCGGCCACACUGGGACUGAGACACGGCCCAGACUCCUACGGGAGGCAGCAGUAGGGAAUCUUCCGCAAUGGACGAAAGUCUGACGGAGCAACGCCGCGUGAGUGAUGAAGGUUUUCGGAUCGUAAAACUCUGUUGUUAGGGAAGAACAAGUUGGGUAGUAACUGACCCAACCUUGACGGUACCUAACCAGAAAGCCACGGCUAACUACGUGCCAGCAGCCGCGGUAAUACGUAGGUGGCAAGCGUUGUCCGGAAUUAUUGGGCGUAAAGCGCUCGCAGGCGGUCCUUUAAGUCUGAUGUGAAAUCUCGCGGCUCAACCGCGAACGGUCAUUGGAAACUGGAGGACUUGAGUACAGAAGAGGAGAGUGGAAUUCCACGUGUAGCGGUGAAAUGCGUAGAGAUGUGGAGGAACACCAGUGGCGAAGGCGACUCUCUGGUCUGUAACUGACGCUGAGGAGCGAAAGCGUGGGGAGCGAACAGGAUUAGAUACCCUGGUAGUCCACGCCGUA
rnacentral:rRNA from 1 species